GGGGCGGGGCGCGGCGUCUUCGCGCGCCCCGCGCCCUAACCUGGGAUUCCCCCGCGGGUGGGCGGCGCCUGCCGACGCGCUGGUGGUCGUCCCGCCUGCGUGCGGCCAUCCCUCGGGCAGUGGGAGCCCGCCUGCAUCCUCGGGUCCCCGCAGACCCCCGCGCGGGCCCGACUGGCGCGGCCGCCGGACUGUCCACCCGACCGCAGGCCCCGGCGAGCGGACCCCGGCGAGCGGACCCCGCGCUCGCGGCCAGUUUGCCUCCCCCAAAAUGAGAAGAUUGGGGAGGGACUUCAAGGGCCGGAAGCCUGAAUCUGCCUGUGCCCCUGGCGGUAGGACGAGCACCUGGCCGGCGGGCCUGUCUCCGCGGCUACUUCCGGAGCUACUCUCCCCGAGAUGGCAGAAACUAGCACCGGGUCCCACCGCGCUCACCUCACAGGCUCCCUCUUGGCGCCCAAAACCAAGCAGAAGCCACAGUCUAUAGAGAUCCAGUAACCUGUGACAUGAGAGAGAUUACUCAGCUAUAAAAUGGAACGAAGUUGGGCCGUUUGCAGAGACGUGGCUGGACCUAGAGACUGUCAUGCAGAGUGAAAAGCUCCUGUUUUCAGGAGAUGAUAACUGUCAACACACAAACUAGUUUAAAGUAGCCUGAAGAGCAAGGGACAGAAGAGAAAGGAGGGCUACCAUCUCAGCUGUUAAGAUUUCUUCAAGAUCAGAGAGGCCCAGGGACAGACCCUUGCCUGCAACCACAACGGCCAGCUGAACCUGCAUGAUAGCUGCUGCAUCAAUGACACCAGAACUUAGAGAAGGAGACAGGUCCCUCGGCAGCCUGCCUCCAACCUAAAGGAUGUCUUACUGACCUCCAAACGAGACACUGACCGUUACCUGCCAGAAAGUUGUCGAACAUAUACAUACAAAUCAUCUGCCUUUGCAGUCAACAAUUAUAAUAAAAAAUGAAAAAAACUCAAAAUAAUCAACGAUCCGUUCAAUAUGAAUGGUGCCUCUACCUUGGGUGGGACGACGCUGACCCUUAGAUUCAGGUGUACUAUUAAUGUAUAUAUGCUUAAUUUUUCUGUUUACUCAAAGAAAUCUAUAACUCUACUCGGGCGGCUACAAUACUGAUUAGAUGUGACAUUUAUCUGAAUUUUAAGAUAUGUGAAUGUCUUCCCAUGUAAAUAUAUAAGAACCCUGAACUUGGUUUGUAUGUAUUCCAUAUAUUUUCUACCUUUUGGAGCCACAGUUCUUUUAGGUGAUAAACUAAUAAGGAUAUAAUCUUGGAUCUUUUUCAUGACUUGGUCUGAAUUCUGAUCACAACUGGUAAGGCCAUUCUACUAAAAGGUAUUAUUUGCAGAUUCCUUCAGCUUUUUAAUUAGGUACUGUUCUAAAUUCAGCUGCUGUUCCCCAAGGGUUUCCUAUUCUAGAUUUAAGGAAAUGACAGGAAAAUUUUAGGAAAAAACUUGAGGGCAGGAAGUCCCUGCCACGUAAAGAGAACAUGUAAGUGUCUCUUUUCUUUAACAACUGACAUUUCAAUUACAGUGCCAUGGAAUAAGCAGUUCAUGUACUUACACAUUAAUCAUUUACAUAUUUAUUAGUAGAAAUACCUCACGAAAACACAACCUAAUCAAAUAGGCUCUAAAGAAAAAAAAAAUCUUAAUGUAUUUUUCUUAUUCCCCAUAUUCCUGUGUGUUCUGUGCACCCGUGUUCUGUUGGUUUGUCUUUGUCUCCCCAUCAAAACUGUACAUUUCUUCAGGUCACAAAAAAGGAAAGGAAAGAGGAAAAGUAUAUGCUAGGUGCUUUGUUAUUCUGUGAAUGAGAUGUAAUACAGUCAACACAAGCUUAGUUGGUGAGUAAAAUACGUUUGAGGAGUACAGACAGAAUCUUAGAAUUAAAGGAGGGUAAUGUCUCCAUAGGACGUUUUCAUCAACAUAGGGUUCUCUGGUGAAUACCCCUCAUCUUCUUUAAGGUCUCCUAACACAUUUACAUUCCCCAAUAUGUUUUCAAAUCUGUUAUUUAAUUCACAUUACAUACAUUACCUACAUGCAUCUGGGAGGCACUUUAAUGACUGUUACUUUACCUGUAAUGGCUACUGCAAAGAUCAGAUAAAAUAAGUAUGAACAUUUACUCUAAAUUCUAAGACCUUAAAGUGCUGUUAGUCUCAUAUUUAUAUAUAAGGAAUAAUUCGCUUCAAUCAAAUAAAAUGGCUAUCCUUAAUUUGUCCUUUUCCUAACCUUGCUCAAUUAUUUCCUGCCUUAUAUAUGAGGUUUGCCAUACAUUUAGGCCUAUUAAUCCUUUGAGCAUCAAUUAAACAUGUAACUCCUAUUUAGACUAUAAACUCCUUAAGGACAGGAAACACAAGAACUUCAAUUCCUUCUGUGUCUGUACUUCCUUCUACUUCCUCUCACCAUUGGCCAGUUUUUUACAGAGUGGGUAUUUGUGGCAGCAUUAUUAAAUAUCCUUAAUGAAGGCAUGGUACAAGUACGGAACCAGCUAAUCAUUCUCCCUAAAGUGCGUCAAUAAAAUCAUUAGGGGGCCAUUAGAGAGGAAGAGGAAAAUACCAUGAUUACCAGGAUCACGAUGCUGUCUCUAACAAGCCAUAGCAACCACUGAAGAGGUAGCCCUAAAAAGCAGCAGCUACAUUCCACAUGCUUACUAACAACCCUUAUUCCAAAGACUCAAGGUCCUCUGAAUGUCUACAAUCACUCUACAAAUGUUUCAGUCUUUAAACCAUUAUUAUUUUCAUAAUUUAAAUCUGAAUAAGGUAGCCUGAAGCAUGUACAAUUAGAAAAUACGUGGAAAACAAACCACUUCUAAGUGGUCUUACUGUGCUGCAGCACAGCUAUUAUACAGCGUAUAUGUGAAUUACUUCUCAAAUGAGGGAAUUCUGCAAAGAAUUAAAAACCUGUAAGACUUUUCAAACUACCGUUCUAGUGAUUUCUGACAUGCUUGAUAUUAUUGUUGGUGGUGAUGACAAUAGGAUUUACUGACUACUUACCAUGUGUCAGAAAGUGCGCUAACUAUAAUUAUAUAAAGCAGAUAUCAUCUUUAUUUUCCAGAUGAGCAGACUGAGGCUUAACUGAGGUUAGAUGUCUGGCCAAAGCUAAGUGGAAGGUUUUUCCAGUUCACUGUACAGCCUGGGUUUGGUUAUCAGACCUAGCACUUAAUAGCUGUGACAUCCCAGACAUAUUACUUGACUGUUCUGGGAGCUAAGUGUCUUAGUUGUAACAUCACUACUAUCAACAUCUGUUUCAUACUGCAGAGUCUGAAAAAUGUUUUGAUUUCUAUUAAGUUACUGGAUAUUCACACCACCCUCAUUUUCUCAUUCUGCAGAUGACUUACCCAAGGUCACAUGCCCGGUGGCUAGAUCAGGGCUCACAUACAGACAAUACCCUAACUACUCACAAUCUAUUCUGAAGCUCAAAUGAGACAGUGUGUGAAUGUAUUUUGUAAACUCUACAUCCUUUUGUAAAAAUGUAAACUAGCAUAUUAUUAUCCAUGUUCCCUGAUUAGGGAGGUACUGAUUGUAUUCAAUGAUCUCGAAAGUUAUAUCUAGAUGUAAAACUGCAAGUUAGAAGAGUUUUUUUCUUUUGCUUUAAAAAAAAAUAGAUUCCCACCAUCUAAAGACUAUUAACAUUUUUCUUUACACAGUAUGAUCACGCUCAAUAGAAUAUAAAUUUUUUCUUUUCCUCAAGAUAAUGUUAAGAAUCUCUCCAUGGUAUUAAUCAUGCAUUCAGCCAAAAAAAAAAAAAUAGCACCUACUAUGGACACACUGGGUAUGUAAGCAAGCAAACAAACAAAAGAUAACCUGUAAGAAAGUGCUAUAAAGGAAACAAGGCUCUAGAAUAGGGAGCUUUAGGAAGGUUUCAUUGAAGCGCUCUCUGAGGAGAUGAUACUUAAACUGAGACCUAAACUAGCAGCCAGAAACACAAAGAAUAGAGGCAGUAGGACACUGCAGGCAGUGGGAACAGCGUUUAUGAAGACUUCAAGGAAGAAAAGGAAAAACCUGCCCAUUUCAGGAAAGAGAACACGAAUGCUAAGGGCAGCCUAGCAGCCGAGGAAGGCUGGUACAGAUGAGGCUGAAGGGCACACGGGCCAGAUCCCACAUAAGCCGGGAGGCGUCUGAGUAGUGCUCAGAAUGUACUGCGAAACCAUUUAAAAGUUUUAAACAGGGAGGCACAUGAUCCAAAUUCCACUGCAGAUCACCUUGGCUGUUGUAUGGAUAAAGUAGCUAGUAAGAUAAGAAGAGAGCCCAGCCCGAGCCCUGAAGAAGGCUAACAUUCAGAAGGCAGAUCAGAGCUGGCAAAGGAAACUGAGAGGGAGGGGCUGAUGAGAGAGCAAGACAGCUCUGUGUGGGGUCAUGGGAACCAAAAGAAAGUGUUUAAAGGAAGACCAGAUGCUAUACUACUUUAAGUUCUGCUGAGAGGUCGAGUAAGAUGAAGACAGAGAAGCGUCUUCUGGAUUUGUAACCUAGAGAUCACUAAUGACCUAGAACAGUUUCAGUGGCGUGCAGUCUAUUCUGUGCACAACCUUUGUAAAUAUUUAAUGACUUCUUAUAUCCCACUGAGUGAAAACACAGCCAUUUUUCCUACAAAAGUGAGUUUUCUCCACAGGAAUUAGAUAUUUUAAAUUCAAUUAAAGAACAUGAUUUACCUUAUUUGAACCAAUAUUGUUUAUAAUACAAACUAUGACGAAGAACUAGCACUCUAUGUAGGAAAAAGCAGCUGCACACAGGACACACAGGGACGCAAAGCUACUCUGUUUGAAAGGCUGGCUACUAUGCUGGUGUUGUGUUUUUCUGCUCACCGUUAAGUUAUGAAUUUCCAGCCUCUACAAUAAAGGCCUGAAAGAGAUACUCAAAUCUCCAGCACCCAUGUAUGCAUGGGCCCUUGACAACUUCAGGUUAAUGGGGUACAGGUUAAAGUACCUGGGGAGGAAGGGCUCUUUCUCAAAUAAAGUGCUGCUCAGGAAAAGCCUUUUGUCCUUCCACCUUUUCACCACCUGGAACAUAAUGUGAUGUUUGGAAUUACAGUAAUCUUUAGACCACGGGAAGGAAAUCCACAGGCUAAGGAGAGUAGAGCGGAGUGACAGGAGGAGCCUGGUUCCUUGAGGGCAGUCUCAGGCCACUGUAUUAGCCCUAAAAAGCCACCUUCCAGAUUUCUUGCUGGAGGAGGCAUGUAAACCCCUCACUUGUUUUAAGCCAUAAUAGCUAAACACGAUGCUAGCAGAUACAUGAUAUAUUCAUUUCAUUCCUUCCUCAGUAAGAGUAUUUUUAAAAGAAGCAAUGUUUAGUACAAGAAGACAUCAGAACUAUAGCAAAUUCCACUGCAACUAGGAGUGGCAUGUGAUCUAGUUGUGAACAAUGAGGUACAAGGAAGACUGAUGGGGGCUCCUAGGAAAUGAAACCCUUUGCUGAUAAGAAGAAAGUGCUGAAGAAAAAUGGUAGCUGGGCUGUCCCUGCCAUGCCCUCCACACCACCGCUUGCCCUCUGCCCUUCCUGCCUUUUGAACUGGUUGUGAUAUCUGGAGCCACAUGCUAUCCUGAAGCCACAGGACAACAAGCACAAGGAUGAAAAGCCCAUCUCCAACAAUGGAAAAACCCUGGCUGCUUGAUGGCACUACCAACUGCUAAACCAGACUGCCUUUCUCCAGAUUUAAGAUAGUUAAGUGUCUUUAUUGAUAAAGUCAUUUAUUAUUUACUAUUUUUUUAAGUUUUUUUUCUUUUUUCCCCCCAGCAAAAAGCAUUCCUACCUUCUUUCAAAUAGCCAAGUGUAGCAUUUCCUCCUUUACUCUGGCUUUGCAUCUCCUUUCCAAGUUUCUUCUCCAGUAUAGGUUGAAAUUGUACUAAUGUCCUGUCCUUGGAAUGCUCUCCCUUCUAAAUCGUAUCAGUUCUUAAAGGGCCUAACUUAAUUCCUGUGUUCCUCAAGACCUGUUCCAAAGGAGCCACAGGGACCAUGUCCUGAUGCCCACAAUUCUCUCCAGUCAUUUACUGACAGUCACUCACCAUUCUCCACCCCCUUUACUUUAUUCCCCACAUAAACCCUCCCGUUCAAAUCAGCGCAGCAAUUAGCCAAUUCAAAAUUCAAUCUAAGAAUUUUCAGGCUGGGAAUGCAGAAUACCUUCACUGUGGCUCUUUUGCUACUCUUAACUGAAAGCCUAGUUGUAAACUCAUGGUUACGUUACUUUAAGUAUAUGCAACUUAUUUUCUCUUCUGGAUCAGUAAUUCUUAAGUAUAAAUCUGAAUGUAUCUGGGAAACUUUUCCAAAAUACAUACACCAAGAACCAUCCCAAACCUACUGACUCAUUUCCAAGGGCACAUGUUGAAGGUCCCAGGUGAGGCUGAUGUGUACCCCUGGGUAAGAUUUUUCUGCUGUAGGUAUUCUACAGCUGCACUGUUCAAUAAGGUAGCUGCUGGCCAUAUGUGGCUAUAGAAGACUUGAAAUUAAUUUAAAUUUAAAAUCUGAUGUGAGAUUCAGUUAUAGGAAAACUUUAUGUCUGGAAUGUGGGUGUGUGAAUUUACUUUUGAAAUGUAGAUUUUAUGAAAUUUAAAUACAGACGGUAUUUCCAAUGAAAAUUUAACAUCUGAAUUGAAAUGUUUUAUAAGUAGAUUACAAAGACUUGGUACGAAAAAAUGUAAGAUACUAUUAAUAAUUUUAUACUAGUUACAUGUUAAGAUGAUAAUAUUUUGGAUAUACUAAGUGAAAAUAUAUUUAAAUAAUU